UACAGAGGCCUCGAGCGUUAGGCGGAAUCACUGGGCUUAAAGCGUGUGUAGGCGGACUUCUAAGUACCUUGUGAAAUCCCACGGCUCACCCGUGGAACUGCUCGGUAUACUGGUCGUCUUGAGCCUUCUAGGGGCGAGUGGAACAAAUGGUGGAGCGGUGAAAUGCGUAGAUAUCAUUGGAACGCCAAUGGUGAAAACAACUCGCUGGGGAAGUGCUGACGCUGAGACACGAAAGCCAGGGGAGCGAACGGG
rnacentral:rRNA from 1 species